rnacentral:rRNA from 1 species
GUGGGGAAUUUUGGACAAUGGGGGAAACCCUGAUCCAGCGACGCCGCGUGAAGGAUGAAGGCCUUCGGGUUGUAAACUUCUUUUGGAGGGGACGAAUAAAUUGACGGUACCCUCAGAAAAAGCCACGGCUAACUACGUGCCAGCAGCCGCGGUAAUACGUAGGUGGCGAGCGUUACUCGGAAUUACUAGGCGUAAAGCGUAUGUAGGCGGUUGUAUAAGUCUAUGGUGAAAUUUCCUGGCUCAACUGGGAAGGGACAUAGAUACUGUAUGGCUUGAGUGUUGGAGGGGGAGACGGAAUUCCUGGUGUAGCGGUGAAAUGCGUAGAUAUCAGGAGGAACACCGAUGGCGAAAGCAGUCUCCUGGCCAAAUACUGACGCUGAGGUACGAAAGCUAGGGUAGCAAACAGGAUUAGAAACCCGUGUAGUCC